CCGGCGCGCCCGCCGCCCUCCUCGGCCUCAGCGCGGGGCCGCUCACUCUCCGGGAUCACUCCGCACCUCACCAGCCUGCCAGGGUCUCCUCAAAUAGUCCCUCCCUGCAGUACUGCUUCCUCCGCCCAUCGCCGCCGCCUUUCGCCCGCCCUCACUCUCCCGCCUUUCUCUGCCCCUCUAUCCCUCACUCCCGCUGAGGGUACGGGCUGGGGACGGGGCUCUGAGGGGCAGGUGGUCCCCGCCGCGACUACGGCCAGCGGAGAGGGGCGGGUGGGGUGGUCGCAGUGCAGGUAUCCUUCCGCUGCUGCCACACACGCUCACGUGAGCCGGCCCCCUCCCCGGCUCCCUCCGGCGCUGCCCCCGGCCCACCCUCACUCCGGGCCCCGGGGCUCCUCCCGGCCGACCCUCACACCGACUCGCGGCGCUGUCCCCUGCCCACCCUCACACCGACCCUCAGGGCUUCUCCCUUCCCCACAGCCGCGCGGUGGUGCUGGGGCAAUGCUGCACUCAGCGCCUCGGGACUCCCGCCGGAGGUGAAGAGUAAGGCAGGGAACACCGCUGCCUGGUGGGCACUGGAAGCCGGGAGCCGCCUGCCUGGCACCUGAUGUGGUGGCUGGCUGUGCCAAAGUGCGACCCUUCUCCUCCUUCUCCUCCUUGGCAGCCCCAGAACCCCGAAAGGCCCUGGGGUCUGGCUGCGUCAGACGGUUGCUCUUGGCCCACCACUCACCAACUUACCCUAGUACCGUGUGGGCUGUGCUCCCUCCAGUCAUGCCCGAAGUCAGUUUUGAGACCAUUGGCCAAAUUCAACCAUAUGUGAUGGAGAGGAAUAAGCUCAAAGAUACUGGAUUCCAGCAAGUUCCAUGAAAACAGGCAGCCAGAAUGGAGAGACUUUUAUUUAGAAGGAAUGGCUGAAGUGGGAGUUCAGCUUUUAUUGGCAAAUCUGUGAAGCAGUCAGUGCAAAUCAUGAAAAAAAUAAAAAUCUUUGACCAA